CCUGCUCUCAAGUCUGGGCCCCAUCCUGGCUCAUGAGACCCUAAACACUGACCAUGUUUUCCUUUACCAUUUAUUUUGACCAUAAGCACUCUCCCCAACCCCCAGUGCCAACCUUGGCUUCCCAUUAAAAUCACUGAGAGAUUUUUCAAAAUCCUGUUGCCGAGCUGCAAUAUCCUGGCCAAAUAAGUGAAAUUACCAGAAGUGGAUCUCAGGCUCGGGCGGAUUGAAAGGUAUUUUUAGAGAGGAGAGUCUCACCUCACAGUAUUCCGUGAUAAUGCAAAAAGUCUCCUGCUCCAUGAAGCUUGCAUGGAAUCUGACAAUGGCAGGAUGAUGGAGCCUGGAGAGGAGCUGAGCUUCCACUUUGGCCUGCACGGUCUCAUUUGGAUUUAAUUCGCCAACAGAGAUUUCCUUCAGUACCUUUCUGUAGCCAAAAAACAAUAAAAAGCAAAGGAAGAAAAGAAAAAGAAAGAAAAGGAGAAGAAAGAAAGACAUCAAGAGUUGAAAAGUCUGUUUCUCUGUUGUAAGGACGUGGUACAGAACCCCUCACCAUGCCCAGGAAAUAAUCAGCUGCUCCAGGGCCUAGUUCUGCCUGCUCUGGGUCUGAAGCCCUGGGUCCCUGCCUGUCCCACCCAGUACCAUGGUGCUCCACAGCCUCUGAACGCCA
rnacentral:lncRNA from 1 species